CCUACGGGAGGCAGCAGUGAGGAAUAUUGGUCAAUGGCCGGAAGGCUGAACCAGCCAAGCCGCGUGAGGGAGGAAGGCGCAGAGCGUCGCAGACCUCUUUUGCCGGGGGACAAAAGGCCGGACGCGUCCGGUCCUGAGGGUACCCGGAGAAAAAGCAUCGGCUAACUCCGUGCCAGCAGCCGCGGUAAUACGGAGGAUGCGAGCGUUAUCCGGAUUCAUUGGGUGUAAAGGGUGCGCAGGCGGGCCUGUAAGCCGGCGGUGAAAUCGCGGGGCUCCACCCCGCCGAGCCGUCGGAACUGGGGGCCUUGAGUGCGGCUGCGGCCUGCGGACUGCGCGGUGUAGCGGUGACAUGCCUAGCUCUCGCGC
rnacentral:rRNA from 1 species